UUCGGAUCGUAAAGCUCUGUUGUAAGAGAAGAACGUUAGCGGGAGUGGAAAAUCCGCUAAGUGACGGUACCUUACCAGAAAGGGACGGCUAACUACGUGCCAGCAGCCGCGGUAAUACGUAGGUCCCGAGCGUUGUCCGGAUUUAUUGGGCGUAAAGCGAGCGCAGGCGGUUUGAUAAGUCAGAAGUAAAAGGCUGUGGCUCAACCAUAGUACGCUUUUGAAACUGUCAAACUUGAGUGCAGAAGGGGGGAGUGGAAUUCCAUGUGUAGCGGUGAAAUGCGUAGAUAUAUGGAGGAACACCGGUGGCGAAAGCGGCUCUCUGGUCUGUAACUGACGCUGAGGCUCGAAAGCGUGGGGAGCGAACAGGAUUAGAUACCCUGGUAGUCCACGCCGUAAACGAUGAGUGCUAGGUGUUGGGUCCUUUCCGGGACUCAGUGCCGCAGCUAACGCAUUAAGCACUCCGCCU
rnacentral:rRNA from 1 species